GACAGAGGCCCCAAGCGUUAGGCGGAAUCACUGGGCUUAAAGCGUGUGUAGGCGGAUCGUUAAGUGUCUUGUGAAAUCCCCACGGCUCACCCGUGGAACUGCUGGGCAUACUGGCGAUCUUGGGCCAACUAGGGGCAGUCGGAACAAGCGGUGGAGCGGUGAAAUGCGUAGAUAUCGCUUGGAACGCCGAAGGUGAAAACAGACUGCUGGGGUUGCGCCGACGCUGAGACACGAAAGCCAGGGGAGCAAACGGG
rnacentral:rRNA from 1 species